rnacentral:tRNA from 1 species
GCCCGGGUGGUUAAAGUGGUAGACACAACGGACUUAAAAUCCGUCGGGAGAAAUCUCUGUACCGGUUCAAGUCCGGUCCCGGGCACCA